GACGUAGGGUCCAAGCGUUGUCCGGAUUUACUGGGCGUAAAGAGCGCGUAGGCGGUCUGUUAAGUGUAGAGUGAAAUCUCCAGGGCUCAACCCGGAAACUGCUCUGCAUACUGGCAGACUGGAGGGAUGCAGAGGUUUGUGGAAUUCCUGGUGUAGCGGUGAAAUGCGUUGAUAUCAGGAGGAACACCGGUGGCGAAGGCAGGUCUCUGGGCCAUAACUGACGCUGAGAAGCGAAAGCAUGGGGAGCGAACAGG
rnacentral:rRNA from 1 species